rnacentral:rRNA from 1 species
GGGGAAUUUUGGACAAUGGGGGCAACCCUGAUCCAGCCAUGCCGCGUGAGUGAAGAAGGCCUUCGGGUUGUAAAGCUCUUUCGGCCGGGAAGAAAUCGCACAGGUUAAUACCUUGUGUGGAUGACGGUACCGGAAUAAGAAGCACCGGCUAACUACGUGCCAGCAGCCGCGGUAAUACGUAGGGUGCGAGCGUUAAUCGGAAUUACUGGGCGUAAAGCGUGCGCAGGCGGUUUCGUAAGACAGAUGUGAAAUCCCCGGGCUCAACCUGGGAACUGCAUUUGUGACUGCGAGGCUAGAGUAUGGAAGAGGGGGGUGGGAUUCCACGUGUAGCAGUGAAAUGCGUAGAGAUGUGGAGGAACACCGAUGGCGAAGGCAGCCCCCUGGGCCAAUACUGACGCUCAUGCACGAAAGCGUGGGGAGCAAAC